CCAUAUCGGUGCUGACGUUAGGAACGAUGUAGAAAUAUGGAGUUUCUAAGACGGUGCUGACGUUAGCACCGUCUUAGAAACUCCAUAUUUCUACAUCGUUCCUAACGUCAGCACCGAUAUG
rnacentral:pre_miRNA from 1 species